UAUGAAAUGUCAUGUUUCAGUACAGUUCAACAAAACAUAUCCUAAAAAUUGAAACUAAACAUAUCGUCAUAAUAAUUUGUUCAAUACCUUAAAAUAUUUCAUACACUGGUAUAUAAAAAAUGUUUUCUAGGCAUAAAGAGAUGUCAAUAAUUCUUCAGUAAUAAAAUCAGAAACAAUGACACUAUACUUUUUUAAAGUUAAGAGGCUUUCACUGCUUCAAAGAUAAACCCACUUAUGUUAAUUGGACCCUUAACCUUAAUUAGGUCCUAAAAGUCUACCUCUGGAUAACAUGAUGCAUACCAGUCUGGAUCUAAGGUCUUAAUUUUUGUCAUAAUCUUUAAAUAAUCUUUAAAAGUAUUCUAAGCAUGUGCAUAGUAAUCUCUUAACUAACAUACAUAAAACCAGUCAAACUCUCUCCUUUUCAGGCUUUGUAAAAUAUUACUCAUUCACACAUACUCUCGCUCUAGUAUUUGUGUAUGAGUGUGUGUGUGUGUAUAUAUAUAUAUAUAUAUAUAUAUAGUGUGUGUUUGAGUAGAGAGAGGAGGGGUAUAUAGGCUAAUGCAAUUAUUAGAUGUACUCAAAACAAUUUUAUGAACAGGAAUAGGUUCACUUUUUUGGCCAAUAAUAGUAACACCCAUAUAUGGAGAACACUGUCCCCCUCCCCCCGCUCAUAUAUAUAAAUAAUCCUGAUCCUCCAAUCAAAUCCAUUAAGGCAGACUCCUAUGCCUGAGCAGAACCCCACUGCUUUUAGCUACUUUGACUUAUACCGCGAACUGUACAGGUAGAAGUGCUUACCCACAUGGAUCUAAUUUUAGGAUUUUGCCUGAUAUUUGGUACAGCAAGAGACAGAGCUGAAACAGAGUUUACUGAUUUAAUGUCAGAUGAUAGACUGCUGUGCACUUAGGGCAACUAUUUUGCUUUUUAGCACUCAGUUGGACCUCUCAUUAUAAAGGGUUCCAUAAAAUCCGUUGACUUCAACAGGACUUCUCACAUUCUGAUUGCAAGCACUCCAUAAUUUAUGAAGUUCAGUAUCUGUAGUUCAUCCCCACUACUACAUUCUAUAAUAGAUCCUUCUGAACCAACAUAAUCUACUGGGUUAAACCCCCAUCAAUUAGAGGCACCAGAAGAAUAUACAUGGACAUAAUUCAUCAAAAGAUAUGCAUGAUAAGGGUUCCACAGCACAGAUAGAAUAUAUAUUAAUAGCUUCAAAGGAAAUCUUAUAAUGCAUCAAGUGAAAGAUCCAUGACCAGGUGCUUUAAAGUACUGUAGAAUUACAAAAAAUGUGUGAAAUUAUAUAACAUAUUCACUGCAACACAUAAGCAUAAUGGGUUGACUUAAGAACACUUUCGUAAGCACUGCUUUGUUUUUUGUUGGUGGGCAUCACAACCACCUUUCUAAAAAAUUUAACAUGUUCACACAUACACAUUUUCUAUGUGCUCACAGACUUGUACCGAGUGUAGUACAAAUUCUAGUAAUCCUAACCAAGAAUCAAUUAAACACAAAUUAAACACACAUUCUGGGAUUUAAAAUUGUAUUACACAGCUAUGUAUUCUAUUCCACUUCCUAUUCCUAGAUCACGAAUUAUCCGUUCUUUAAAACUGAAUAAUAAUAAAUAAA
ensembl:lncRNA